GGUAAAAUCAUAAAUUCCCUUUCGUCUUCCCCAUUUUUUUUUAGAUCUUACGAUCACUACUGCAUUUCCAUGGCGGCUACCGACAUUGUUUUCACCUUAUUCAUCAAAAUUUCAUCUUUUAUGCUUUAAACUCAUUCAUACAUCAUCUAAUAUAUCGUUUUAGAUUCUCAAAACUCAAAAAAGAGAAACAAAUUGUUGUUGCCGAUUUUGUGGCCGAACAUGACGAAAUCGCCACGGCCAACCACCGUCUAGCGUCUCACCGGCGUUCAAUCGGCCGCCGAAAGUGCGUUUUCGAACAUGAGAUUUAUAGCCGUUGAGGCAACCGAGAAAGAACUAAGACAGCCAGUCCAUUUGGCAGUCUUCCAAAGAGGAAUACUGGACAAUACACAUAUUAUGAUUCUGUAUAAUUCAUGACAAAACACGAAAAAGCAGCAUCCAUUUCCACCUACGUCAUUUGGUUAUUCAGUGGGCCAAAGAAUGAGAGUAGCCACACGCGUUCUGUUGAAAAAGUUGUGUUGACCAGAGUGUCAUAAGUCUCCACUUUGAUUGAUUCUCCAUGCUUAAAUGAUAAGAAAAAAUGUUAACUAAUAUACAUAAGAUAUUUCUACAGACUUUCUAGAGUGUAGUUUGCAACUACCUGAAUUUUUUUUUUCA